GGAGCCCCGAGGAGCCCACCGCUCCCCGCCCAGCGGGGUGGCUCUCGCGAGACUUCCCGCCGUCGCCUGGCAACCGCCGUUAGGGUGGCGAAGGUGAACUGUAGGACGGCAAGACAGAAGCUGCUCUCAGUAAACAACACCAAUACAGUGAAUAUCAAAUGUUGCAGCCCGAUGAAACAAAAAUGGUUUGGGGUUGUUCUGUCUCAACAGUGGAAUGCCAAAGAUCUACUGCAGGCUGGCUCCACACCUUCCAUCCUACGAACUCAUCAUGAUGCCACUUUCCUGUCCCCACUUACCAAUCCUCCUUGAAUACAAUCUCAUGUUGGAAGCCGUUCUUGGCUUCAUAGGUUCAACAACUCUUCCCCUGGAAAAAGGAAAACAGAAAACAAGAAGAAGAGAAACUAAAACUAGUCCUAAAAGUGGAAAGGAAGUACAACCAGUGUGGUUAGGAGCGAAGCGCAUUAAAAACCGUUCUGGUAGGGCAUUUGAAUACGGUUGCAAUUUGAAAAGUGAGUAUUGUAGAGUUGUUUGUUCCAGCUGGUAUAUUUUAUCUUUAUAAUUAAUGCUGUUACUUCCCUUUUUCCCCCCCGCCGUUUGUCUUGCUUGUUUACGUUGUCAAUUGCAAGGUAAAAACCUCUUGAAGUCUAUGGAGAGAAACAUUUAUGACCCCAAUCAGUGAAAUCAAGGCUUGUUUUCUGUGUGGAAAAGGCAAGUGCACUUAUCCCCAUUCAAACUCCAGACAUCUUGGGAGACCUUGGGAGACCUUGAACUUCUGCCCAGGAGGAGUGUGAGUGAUUGUCCGCGAAACCACAUUUGGCACCAGGAACCAGGAAGUUUUCUGGCGGGCAAGGAUCCCCAGUUCAGAGUUCUGUUAGAGCGUGGUUGUACACUGUGGUCAGGUGCCCGCUCGCUCUCCAGGAAAGGGAUUCUAAAGUUUUCAAAUGCCCCCCGCCCAGCCCCCAGCCACAAAGCUGUUAUAAAAUAAAAUACAAGUCCUUCCUGGAUUUUCCAACUCUACUUCCUUUAGGAAGUUUAAGUCAAUGGGAAACAAAGCCUUAUUCAAAGGAUUAAAGCUCUAGUCAUUCUCUUUGUUUUGCAGCUUCAAUAAUACACUUUUCCUCCAAUGAACCAGAUUUUCAAUUCAUAAAUCUUGUAAAAAACAGGAAGUUUGGGGAAACACGUGCUGAUUGAUAACAAACAAGGGAUAUUUCUUGUACCGCAAAACUUCACCCAAGUAAAAGGGACAUCCUUUUUCAUUUGCCAUGUAUACAGUUGGCUUUCUGGAUGCGUUUUAGGAGAAGGCAGCGCGCCUCGGGGCCUGAAAAUAAAGUGGUUUUUUAAACAGCA